rnacentral:rRNA from 1 species
CCUGGGUGACGAGCGGCGGACGGGUGAGUAUGUCUGGGAAACUGCCUGAUGGAGGGGGAUAACUACUGGAAACGGUAGCUAAUACCGCAUAACGUCGCAAGACCAAAGAGGGGGACCUUCGGGCCUCUUGCCAUCAGAUGUGCCCAGAUGGGAUUAGCUAGUAGUGGGGUAACGGCUCACCUAGGCGACGAUCCCUAGCUGGUCUGAGAGGAUGACCAGCCACACUGGAACUGAGACACGGUCCAGACUCCUACGGGAGGCAGCAGUGGGGAAUAUUGCACAAUGGGCGCAAGCCUGAUGCAGCCAUGCCGCGUGUAUGAAGAAGGCCUUCGGGUUGUAAAGUACUUUCAGCGGGGAGGAAGGUGUUGUGGUUAAUAACCACAGCAAUUGACGUUACCCGCAGAAGAAGCACCGGCUAACUCCGUGCCAGCAGCCGCGGUAAUACGGAGGGUGCAAGCGUUAAUCGGAAUUACUGGGCGUAAAGCGCACGCAGGCGGUCUGUCCAAGUCGGAUGUGAAAUCCCCGGGGUCAAACCUGGGGAACUGGAUUCGAAACUGGCAGGCUAAAGUCUUGUAAAGGGGGGGUAAAAUUCCAGGUGUA